GGAUCAAUAUGCUGGUCGUGCCUUUGGUACGUACUGGUAUUAUUGGUUUCUCCUUUCUGAUGAAUCACGAUGUCAUUAAUUUGGUGUUGCGGGGAAUUUGGACUGUUACUUUGAAAAAAUUAGAGUGUUUAAAGCAAGCUAACGCUUGAAUACAUUAGCAUGGAAUAAUGUAAUAGGACGUUCGAUCCUAUUUUGUUGGUUUCUAGGAUUGACGUA
rnacentral:rRNA from 1 species